rnacentral:rRNA from 1 species
GCUGGCGGCGUGCCUAACACAUGCAAGUCGAACGAGAAAGUGGAGCAAUCCAUGAGUACAGUGGCGUACGGGUGAGUAACACGUGACUAACCUACCCUCGAGUGGGGAAUAACUUCGGGAAACCGAGGCUAAUACCGCAUAAUGUCUACGGACCAAAUGCGCAAGCAGCUUGAGGAGGGGGUCGCGGCUGAUUAGCUUGUUGGCGGGGUAACGGCCCACCAAGGCAAUGAUCAGUAGCCGGCCUGAGAGGGCGCACGGCCACACUGGAACUGAAACACGGUCCAGACUCCUACGGGAGGCAGCAGUGGGGAAUUUUGCGCAAUGGGGGAAACCCUGACGCAGCAACGCCGCGUGGAGGAUGAAGCCCCUUGGGGUGUAAACUCCUUUCGAUCGGGACGAUUACGACGGUACCGGAUGAAGAAGCACCGGCUAACUCUGUGCCAGCAGCCGCGGUAAUACAGAGGGUGCAAGCGUNGUUCGGAAUUAUUGGGCGUAAAGGGUGCGUA